UGAGACAGACUGAGCCUCAUUUUCCAGGUGUGAAACCCAUCAAGACGAGUCAAUGCUGGAGCACCUCAUAUUUGCUACCUAAAGGAGAAGACCACAGGAGGAGCUGACUGUUGGAGGGAGCAGGGGACUUCCAACCUGAUCCAGAGAACAACCAGAAAGACUGUGGGUCUGCUGUCUCCAGAGGCUGGAGAGGAAGUUGGGGGUAGCUGGAAGGUUGGAUGGAGACACAGCAGGGGCAGGUAAUCCCAACUGACCGAAGGGAUAUUCCAGAUGAUGUGACAUCAUGCUCAGUAUAUAAGGUGAGGGGAAGAAGAAGGAA